rnacentral:rRNA from 1 species
AGGGACGAAGGAGCGCCGUUCGAAGAGGGCGGCGCGGUGACGGUACCUCACGAGGAAGCCCCGGCUAAAUACGUGCCAGCAGCCGCGGUAAUACGUAGGGGGCGAGCGUUGUCCGGAAUUAUUGGGCGUAAAGCGCGCGCAGGCGGUUCCUUAAGUUUGAUGUGAAAGCCCACGGCUCAACCGUGGAGGGUCAUUGGAAACUGGGGGACUUGAGUGCAGGAGAGGAGAGCGGAAUUCCACGUGUAGCGGUGAAAUGCGUAGAGAUGUGGAGGAACACCAGUGGCGAAGGCGGCUCUUUGGCCUGCAACUGACGGUGAGGCGCGAAAGCGUGGGGAGCAAACAGGAUUAGAUACCCUGGUAGUCCACGCCGUAAACGAUGAGUGCUAAGUGUUAGAGGGGUCACACCCUUUAGUGCUGCAGCUAACGCGAUAAGCACUCCGCCUGGGGAGUACGGCCGCAAGGCUGAAACUCAAAGGAAUUGACGGGGGCCCGCACAAGCGGUGGAGCAUGUGGUUUAAUUUGAAGCAACGCGAAGAACCUUACCAGGUCUUGACAUCCCCUGACAACCCAAGAGAUUGGGCGUUCCCCCUUCGGGGGGACAGGGUGACAGGUGGUGCA